rnacentral:rRNA from 1 species
GGACGAACGCUGGCGGCGUGCUUAACACAUGCAAGUCGAACGGAAAGGCCCUGCUUUUGUGGGGUGCUCGAGUGGCGACCGGGUGAGUAACACGUGAGUAACCUGCCCUUGACUUUGGGAUAACUUCAGGAAACUGGGCCUAAUACCGGAUAGGAGCUCCUGCUGCAUGGUGGGGGUUGGAAAGUUUCGGCGGUUGGGGAUGGACUCGCGGCUUAUCAGCUUGUUGGUGGGGUAGUGGCUUACCAAGGCUUUGACGGGUAGCCGGCCUGAGAGGGUGACCGGCCACAUUGGGACUGAGAUACGGCCCAGACUCCUACGGGAGGCAGCAGUGGGGAAUAUUGCACAAUGGGCGGAAGCCUGAUGCAGCAACGCCGCGUGCGGGAUGACGGCCUUCGGGUUGUAAACCGCUUUCGCCUGUGACGAAGCGUGAGUGACGGUAAUGGGUAAAGAAGCACCGGCUAACUACGUG